UCCCAUCUUACUACAGAAUGUGUUUUCCAGGUUCUCCUCAUAGCAACAAGAAAAGCAGUGUCAGAUGUUAAAGCCCAUCUUGAUUACUGCAUCAGCCUCCUGUUUACCUCCUGCUCCAAGGUGAACCAAGACACCACCAUCUCAAGGUCAAACGCUAUCUCGUGAUGACCCGAGCUAGCCAAGCAGACCUUGGAAGCACAAGCGAGACACCACCCCCACAACCGAAACCACUAGACACCCCAAGCCAGGAAUGCCACCGUGCCACCGUGCCAACCAAAUAAGGACUACCCCCAGACUGCUAGGACUGAAGAAUCACCUUGGCUAUCCUGCAGAUGGGUGGCUAUUCCACAGGCUUCUCUCUCUAUUCCCCAGCUCACUAUUUUUGAAAUUCUAUGCAU